rnacentral:rRNA from 1 species
AUUGAACGCUGGCGGCAUGCUUUACACAUGCAAGUCGAGCGGCAGCGGGGGUGCUUGCACCUGCCGGCGAGUGGCGAACGGGUGAGUAAUACAUCGGAACGUAUCCUUAAGUGGGGGAAUAACGCAUCGAAAGAUGUGCUAAUACCGCAUAGUCUUUUACAAGUAAAGCAGGGGAUCGAAAGACCUUGCGCUUGAGGAGCGGCCGAUGUCUGAUUAGCUAGUUGGUGGGGUAAAGGCCUACCAAGGCGACGAUCAGUAGUUGGUCUGAGAGGACGACCAACCACACUGGGACUGAGACACGGCCCAGACUCCUACGGGAGGCAGCAGUGGGGAAUUUUGGACAAUGGGCGAAAGCCUGAUCCAGCCAUGCCGCGUGAGUGAAGAAGGCCU